AUCCUUUUGCAGUUACGUGUAACGACUGGGUUUUCGUGCUUAUGAGUGAGAUCUGCCUCCCUCAAACAUUGUUAUAUGUCAGCACGUUACCCAUCUGACA
ensembl:snoRNA